rnacentral:misc_RNA from 1 species
UCCGCGUUAUUCGCGGCAGUCUCUCUAGAGGGCCCAACUGAAUGAUGGCAACUAGAAACGAGGGUUGCGCUCGUUGCGGGACUUAACCCAACAUCUCACGACACGAGCUGACAACAGCCAUGCAGCAUCUGUGGCGCACCCUCGAAGGUCACACGUUUCCGUGCGCUUGCAGCGCCAUGUCAAGCCCAGGUAAGGUUCUUCGCGUUGCAUCGAAUUAAAGAACAUGCUCCGCUGCUUGUGCGGGCCCCCGUCAAUUUCUUUGAGUUUUAGCCUUGCGGCCGUACUCCCCAGGCGGGGCGCUUAAUGCGUUAGCUGCGGCACGGAACUCGUGGAAUGAGUCCCACACCUAGCGCCCAACGUUUACGGUGUGGACUAC